GUAGGUAUGAAAAAGUCUGGUAGAUGUCUCACCAGGACCAGCCAGAGCUACUCUUUGGGCUUAUAGUCCUGGUUGCAAAGGAGCUGAGCAGCAAAUCUAUGUGAAUCAGAAAGUUCACAUUGGAACACCUGGUAAAACUCAAGAGCAAAACUCUUAUUCCUUGUGUUAUUGUGACUGGCAUCUUGGCAUGUUAUAGCCUUGACCAGACUAACACCUGGUACCGUCUUUGUCAUUUUGCCUCUUCAUUUAGAAGGCAGAGUAGAUACUCCUAUUAGGAGAGCAUUCUUUCACUCUGUCUUCUGAGUUUAUCUCCUUAUCCAUAUCUCAUACUUUGCAGACAGUAGGAAAAUUUACCUAAGGGGGACUAUUGGUUGUCUUUGGCUAGUAGAUUAUAUAUGGCCUUCAGAUCUGACUGUUUCAGAGCAUACCCCUAAAGCAGCAUCAGGACAGAUCUGUGCUUAACUAAGACCUCCAAGGGAAACUCAGGAUUUUAUUGGUAGCUCUUUUUCCUCAAAGCCAGUACAGAGCCUGGGCAUCAGCUUAGCACUAGAGGGCACUGUAUUACUGGAGGUGCCAUCUUUAGGGUGAGACAAAAAUCAGUCUUGAUUACACAUGCUUGUUAAUCCCCUGGCAUUUUUGCGAGAGUCAGGAUUUUGGUCCUGAAUCCUGGCCAGAUAUCUUUUUGGGUAACUCCACUUUACCUCCCUAAAUUCCUUUUUCAGUUUCAGUUGGGUACAGUACUUUUCACUUCCUGUGGCUGUAUAGCUGUUAAACUGCUGUAAGUUUUCGACGAGAGGAUGUUGCAUCCAUGAGGGUGUGUUUAUCUGUUACCUUUCUAAGUCUACGUAGCCCCCAUCAUUCUAGUAACUGAGCAUUUUCCAAGUACUUUAAAAUGGGAAUAGCAUCAUUCUUACUUUUCAGCCUGUAGGACAAAUGGUUUGACACUUUUAUCAGAUUAGUAUUUGUAUGUGCGAGUGCAUGACUCACUGAAGGGAAGCUAGUCAAAUAAAUGUUUUUGACAUUUAAUUCUGAUUGUGCUGAGGCUUGUGGUUUCUGUCUGAUGUAAGAGUUCUAGGUCAAGCUCCUGUGAAAGUUCUGUUUUCUGCACUCACAAGCCUCUCCUGACUGGCAGGCAAGUAGUUGUCCUUGGAGGUCUCUUAGGUUGCUUUAGCAAGGCCAAUGGAAGGCUUUGACUGUCAGGACAUAUUCUGAACUGGACUCUAUAUUCAGUGAGGAGCCAUUGCAGAGAACAGAGCACUGGAAUGAUGUAGACAGAGACCUGCCGCUAUGUUUUAUACUAGGUGAAAUGCUGUAAGGGUCUUUGGCUUCAUUAUUAGAUAUGAGUUGCAAUAAUCCAGCCUGGAGAUCACGAAUGUGUGGAUCACUGUGGCCAAGUCUUUGUCUGACAGGAAGGGGCACUGUCUUCUAAUCCGCCAAAAAUGGAAUUGUUGUAUGCCAUGUUGUUGUAGCUAUGUGGAUCCCAGGGUAUUGGAGAGACAAGGUGGGUGAGGGAAUAUCUUUUAUUAGACCAACUUGUGUUGGUGAGAGAGACACGCUUUCGAGCUACACAGUUAGCUGUGAUACUCUAGUACUUUUCCCAGACCUGAAGAAAAGCUCUGUGGUAGCUCAAAAGCUUGUCUCUCUUGCCAACACAAGUUGGUCCAAUAAAAGAUAUUCCCUCACCCACCUUAUCUCCAAUGGAAGUGGACAUUUUCUGCCAUAGUUAUUUGGGCAUCCAAAAGCACUGAGGAGCCCAAAAGUAUCCUAAGACAAUCUGAGGACAGUUGCCCUCAAUAGUGGGGGAAUAUUCUAAUAGAGACAAGUACUUUAGCAUACUUCCCUCUUCCUACCAGCCUCAGUCUCACUUGGGUUCAGCUUUAGCCAGCUACUCUUCAUCUAGGUGCUGAUUUCAACCAAGUAUUGAAUAAGCUUGGAGAUGUUACUGUUUGCAUUCGACAUAAAGGGGAUAUAGAGAUGGCUAGUUCUGUACUGCUGACAUUUCAGCCCAAGUUGUCUCACCAACUCUUUUAACAGCUUCGUAUUGAUAUGAUUGAUAAAGGAGUGGGGAGAAGAUCAAGCCUUGUGGAACUCUCCAGGUGAGGGUUUUUGGGGUAGAGGAACAGUGUCCCAUAAUAAUCCUCUGGGUUUGGUUUGAGAGGAAGAAUCUGAGCUGACCUAGGAGUGUCUGUUCCCACUACAGCUUCUUGAAGAUGGGACAGGAAUCUUUUGUGAUGAGCCGGUAUUAGAUACCCGAGACCGGUCCCUCAGCAUUAUGGGUAUACUUCCCUUGUCCACAACCAGGUAAUCUUCCAGUGCAAAAAGUCCUCUCACUUCACCAGGUCCUGGCUAAGAGGGAUCAAGGAUACUGGCAUGUGACAGGUAACACUGGAGACUGUCUGACUAGCUACUAGAUUAGUUUGCUUAGGCGAAGGGGGCUCAGGCGCUGUGAAGUCUUUGGUGUCAAGCAGUGGUUUAUUCUAAUGUUGGUUGGCAUAUUGCCUGGGUUAGGGUGCAUAUUAGAUUUCCCUAAUCAAAGGAAGUAUUGACAAUGUGAUACUAGGGAUCUCGGAUGUUCCCAUAUCUCUUCCUAUCCAGGAAGGACAGGAGUUGGAGUCACAGGGGGCGGUGACCUGAUUUUCAGUGCUUCCAUGAAGCUCUGUGGAAGAAGGGUGUGUGUAUCUGGUCCUGCUCUUGACCUUGUUGCUCACCCACGUGGUCUUCCUGGAUGAGGUUGAUCUUCUCUGUGAAAUAAGGUCAGACUACAUUUCUUUCUGCUCCUCUGGGAAGACUUUUCUAUCUGGUGGCUUAUAGAUGAGUAGGAUGCCCAGGUGUGUGGUAGGCCUAAUUGACAGUGUUGCCAUUCUUAUGGUGUACCAGAUGUCUAGAAAGUGGCAGACUGCUCAACUAGCCAGGUGAGUGAGGUAAUAAUAUCUUUUAUGGGACUGACACAGUUGCAACAACAUGGCAUACAACUCCCCAAGGGUCAGAGUUAAGGUGAAUUGUUAGAUAUAGCUUGUAUAUCCGUAGGAAAAACACUUCGGGAUUCUCUGGGAUGAAAGGUGCUCUCUAAAUGUAAGAGAAAUGUCCUGAGAGGUCUCAGUCUUGCCCCUUCAUAGCUGUGCCAGACCCCUGUGCUUUGCUGAAUGGCAGAAGCUCCCCCUGCAGCUGUGAAAUCUGGGUCCUGCCUAUUUGCUGCUCCUCUGAAACAUCAUCACUGUUAGGAAUUCUUUCGCUAAAUAAAAUUAUAGGGCCGAGGGAAGUGUUGAAAUGAAACCAGACUUAAGAUUUCCUACAGAAAUCCUGUGUGUGUGAGCCUUUCACUGUCACAGUGGUGGUUCCUGUUUUAGGUGAUAUUACAUAUUAUAUGGCAUGGUUUGUAGCAGGAUACUGAGUUGUACUGUCUGAGUUUCCUUGUGAGUAAAAAUAUUUGCAAAUGCUGAUAUUUCUUCCAUGACUACCUUGUGGUGAUUCUGCAAAGAGUAGGAUAGUAGAUUCUAAACUGGAUGUCCACAAUAAAAAAAACCCUUUUUUGUGCAGACAGUUAGGGGCUUUCCCCAGCAAAAAACAAGAGCCAGCUUGUUCAGUUUUACUUAUCUAUUGUUCCAGGAUAAACACUCUUUGUCUUGGCUUUUCUGUUAUGACUCAUGGAGAAAGGCCACAAAAUGAAACCCUCCCCCUGCACAUGGGGGUUCAUAGUUUGAAAAUGUUUCUCUGAUAGUAAGAAACUCUCCACUUCCAAAGCAAAGGUUACAGGGGCUUAAGCUGUUUAGACGUCUGUAGGGGAGCUGAACUUUCAGUUACUAAGAUGGCUAAGAACAGCCGGCUUGUUGCGCUAGUGACCAGUGUGUGUCAGUCAUGCCAUCCCUCUGUUUCUCCUGUCAUGUUUAUUCUGUGAUGGCUAGAGGUAGGAAUGUAAAAGACCCCUGUGCACCCUUGUAGGGUGUUCUCCUUAUCCCCUACUGGGGAGCUGGGAUUUUAUUACAUUUGGAGCCAUUGCUUUGGACUUGAAGUGCAUCAUUGCUGCUGGGACAAUUUAAAAAGGGAAGGCUCUUUAAGCUACUGUAAUCCCAGUGACAAACCAGAGAGCCCAUGCUAAUGGCUGAUCUGAAACUCCAGCAUUUGCAGACUUUUCCUCUGGUUUUUCUCCUUUGCUCUCACUUGGCACUUUGGGGGGCGUGCUGAAAUCCUGCGUCGUGGCUCUGCACUGCACCUCCAUACAUUCAGACCUUCAGGUAUAAAUCUCUACUCAGCAAGUAUUGUCAUAAACCACAUGCAAAACACACAUUCCUGACAGGCCAA